CUUAGGAAAUUGCCCUGAUGUGAAGGAUAACCCUUGGAAACGAUGGCUAAUACCGCAUGAUGCCUACGGGCCAAAGAGGGGGACCUUCGGGCCUCUCGCGUCAGGAAAUGCCUAGGUGGGAUUAGCUAGUUGGUGAGGUAAGGGCUCACCAAGGCGACGAUCCCUAGCUGGUCUGAGAGGAUGAUCAGCCACACUGGAACUGAGACACGGUCCAGACUCCUACGGGAGGCAGGAGUGGGGAAUAUUGCACAAUGGGCGCAAGCCUGAUGCAGCCAUGCCGCGUGUAUGAAGAAGGCCUUCGGGUUGUAAAGUACUUUCAGUCGUGAGGAAGGCGGUGUCGUUAAUAGCGGCGUCGUUUGACGUUAGCGACAGAAGAAGCACCGGCUAACUCCGUGCCAGCAGGCGCGGUAAUACGGAGGGUGCGAGCGUUAAUCGGAAUUACUGGGCGUAAAGCGCAUGCAGGUGGUUUGUUAAGUCAGAUGUGAAAGCCCGGGGCUCAACC
rnacentral:rRNA from 1 species